UAAGGAAUAUUGGACAAUGGUCGCAAGACUGAUCCAGCCAUGCCGCGUGCAGGAAGACGGCCCUAUGGGUUGUAAACUGCUUUUGUACCAGAGAAAACCUAUCUACGUGUAGAUAGCUGAUAGUAUGGUAAGAAUAAGCAUCGGCUAACUUCGUGCCAGCAGCCGCGGUAAGACGAAGGAUGCAAGCGUUAUCCGGAUUCAUUGGGUUUAAAGGGUGCGUAGGCGGGCUUGUAAGUCAGUGGUGAAAUCUCUCAGCUUAACUGAGAAACUGCCAUUGAUACUGCAGGCUUAGAGUAUAGAUGACGUUGGCGGAAUAUGACAUGUAGUGGUGAAAUACUUAGAUAUGUCAUAGAACACCGAUUGCGAAGGCAGCUAACGAAACUAUAACUGACGCUGAGGCACGAAAGUGCGGGGAUCAAACA
rnacentral:rRNA from 1 species